UCUUCCUGAGGGAUCCACCUGGACA
rnacentral:piRNA from 1 species